AAAAAUUCCAGAAUGGAUUGUGAUUUGAGGGAAUACGGCCAUGACUGGUAGACUUUUCGUCGCAGCGAUUAUACUUUAUAUUGACCACGCAAGUGGCCGCUUUAACAAUGAAAAUAAAUGUUUUCAAUAAUGGAAGGCAGUCGGGAGGAGAGAAGGCCCAUGGAGUUGAUGGAAGAAUCCUUUAAUUCAUGGCCACUUGCUCAGCUGGGCCAGGGGUGCUUUAAUUAGGUCAGGUGGAAAUGGCCGACAGAUCUCAACUUCAUAAAAGGAGGAAAUCGCCAUCACCCGAUCUGGUUGCUUUCUCUUCCUUAGCUCCGUCUAAUCCAGACGGUCUCUGCGUCCAUGAAUCCACCACAGACUACCCAGUAAAUAUACAUUUUUAUGGUUAAAUUUAA